UACGAAGGGGGCUAGCGUUGUUCGGAAUUACUGGGCGUAAAGCGCACGUAGGCGGAUUGUUAAGUUAGGGGUGAAAUCCCAGGGCUCAACCCUGGAACUGCCUUUAAUACUGGCAAUCUCGAGUCCGAGAGAGGUGAGUGGAAUUCCGAGUGUAGAGGUGAAAUUCGUAGAUAUUCGGAAGAACACCAGUGGCGAAGGCGACUCACUGGACAGGUAUUGACGCUGAGGUGCGAAAGCGUGGGGAGCAAACAGG
rnacentral:rRNA from 1 species